CACAUGCAUAUAAGGAGUCUAAGAGCAUUGUCACAUUGUCAUGAUUAAGAUGCCUUGUUGAUAAUGAUUGAAUAUGUGAUUAUGUGAUAAGUGUUUAUUGAUUAUGUUAUGUU
rnacentral:pre_miRNA from 1 species